AAUAAAGUAAACUAAUAAAGUUUUUGGACUCAUAAUCCAACCAUGGACAUCCCUUUACUA
rnacentral:tRNA from 1 species